rnacentral:lncRNA from 1 species
UUAAAGGUGGAAAGUUCCAUUAAUACAUAAGAUUGUCAACUUGUUGAUUUCAUAACAUCUUACAAUAUAUUUGCAAGUUAACAAUGAACAUUCUUUCUUGAUCAAUCAAUGAAAGCUGAAGACUGAAAAAAUGAGAUCAUUGACUACAAAACUCAAGGACAUUGUACAACACUGAAAAAAUGAGAUCGCUUUGACGACUGCGUGCACCUUCUCAUCUUUCAAGUACAAGUUCAAACUUGCAUUGUAGUACAAACAUUGGUUCAAAAUGGAUGAUAAUCCCACAAUUGUUUUUUAUCUCUGUUUUCGACUAUUAAGAAGAACCUGCAGAUUACAAGUGAGUUAAUCUAGAUAGAAUACAGCAAAUAAACUACGGAUCAAUGCAUUAGAAGAAAAUAUGGAGAUCACGCAUGGCAAUUUCAUCUGGCUAUAUGUGUAACAUACGCCUGUCUACAAACAAGACAUGAAUAAAAAUAAAAAUAAGACUUAAGAGAAUGGAGGUUGCUCGGUUUAUGUACUCGACAUCAUGGAUUCCGGUUUUAUUAUCGAGCCACUGAGCCGCAAAAAUAAAUAGAGUUCAGUGCAAAAAUUUGCAGUUCCAAAUUGGUGAGUUUAUGAUCUCCAAAAAUAAAUCAUUUAAAGUUUCUUCCGAUAUAAUGGCCCAGAAGUUUAGCACAUAAUCCACAAUGUGUUGUUUGCUCCAACAUAGAAGUAAAUAUCAUCAAUGUGUCAUGCCGCUUGGUGAUAAGUUUCAUAUGAGAUGCUCCUUUUGUGUUGUUAGCUCCAACAUAGGAGUAAAUAUCAUCAAUGUGUCAUGCCACUUAGUGAUAAAUUUCAUAUGAGAUGCUCCUUUUAGCUUUCUCCGCAAUAGGUUAUUGUUCAAAACAUCAAUAUCUACGAUAUUUAUUGAAGUGUUGUAGUAUAUUACCAUUAAUUUCUGUAAUUUCUUAAAUCAAAUGAAAUUAAAGUAACUUAUACGCAAGUACCAAACUAAUCUUCCGGCUCACUCCGCACCUCGCGAGGUGAUUAACAUAAGCAAAAUAUGAGCAGAACAUGGGGAAAGGGGAUUUUCUCUUGCAUGUUGAACACCAGAGAAAGAUAAGAAAUUAUGGGGUGCCCAUGUACAUGAAAAAGAACAUAAACAACAAUCACAUGCUACCAUUACAAAGCAAUGGAGACCCAAACAUAUGAUACAUAUCACCCAUCUUUCAUUACACUACAGGAGAAGAUGAUUAGAAGUCAACACCCAAGAAAAACAUGAAGCAUCUUAUUUAGAUUUUGUACUAAUGUACCAUGCAACUGUGGAGUAAUUAGUAGGAGUAAAAGUCAAGGUUACCUAUUCGACGUGUUUAUUAGAGAGAAGUUCAUUGACCAUAUGUGUUCUUAUACAUAAUGUAAUAGCCUUUUCUGUCAUUGCAAACACUUUGAGGACCAAAAGUGUAAAGAUUAAACAACGAUCAGACGGUGAUACAACAUCAAAGAUCAAACCGGUAAUUCAUCCUCUAAACAUCAAAAAAUGAAGGGCGUUUUUUACAAAUUCCAAUAUCGGUUUUCUAAUUAACCUGUUCCAUAUAGCAGAAUGGUAAUAAUGAACAUCACAGGAACAUAUAAUCUAAGCAACCUUGCAGCGUAAAAACAUCGAUGUUAAAAUGUGUAAGGAUGAGGCGUGGAGUAAUUACCUAUCCAAAAGCCAUUUAUUAUGAACUGCCGAACAAAAAAAAAUCCGAAUACCAAGCUCCAAGAUUCACCCAAAUAAAUCGAUUACAGGCAGCCUAAACAUCACCUAUAACUAUAAUUAGAAUUGUUGGUAUGAGAGGAUGCCAGAAUAAUGUAAUUGCUUGGAAAUGAAUCUUACAUGAACUGAAAAAAGGAAACCUACCCGAGCAUCAUGCUCAAAUAUGUUAUGCUACCGAGAGUGGAGAGGGUGAGCGAAGAGUGAUAGGGGAGGAAGCAUAUAUAGACGUACCUCUGUACCCCUCGGCAGCGUGAAGGAUCGGCACAUCAGCAACCAUGAAUGUGCGCUCUGAAACUGAAGUACUAUUGCGUCUAUCAAGUCUCGCGGAACAGUUUUGAUCAGCUAAGAUGUCACUCACGUCCCUUCCCUUUCUCCCAAGAAGCCCAAUUGACGGCGUCGACUGGAUCAAGCGCCCACCAAGCCGUCCGCAAUGUGUGCGUCAGCUGGAUCGAGCGCCCACUGAGCUGCCUGCAACGCGUGCAUCGGCUGGAUACCCUCUCCCACGACAGCUCGAUCCCCUCGCAGACGAUCGACCGCAUUGGCCGUAGUGUGCGCGCGUCGGCUGGAUCGAUGGACCGCGUUGCAUCAUGCACGCCUCGAUCCGUCUAUCACCGAUGACCGAUCCCCUCCUCUGUAUCGACCGCCGCGUGGAGCCCUAUUUUUUUGCGGAGACGGGGACGGGAGCAUAGCACAGAUCCAGCUAAGACUCGGUUUUUUC